GAUGAAGAACGUAGUGAAAUGCGAUAAGUAAUGUGAAUUGCAGAAUUCAGUGAAUCAUCGAAUCUUUGAACGCACCUUGCGCUCCUUGGUAUUCCGAGGAGCAUGCCUGUUUGAGUGUCAUUAAUAUAUCAACCUUCUCUUUUUUGAGUUGUUUGGAUGUGGGGGUUUGCUGGCCUCUUAAAUGAUUCAGCUCCCCUGAAAUGCAUUAGCAGAACAACCUGUUCAUUGGCGUGAUAAUUAUCUAUGCUAUUGAAUGUGAGGGCAGUUCAGCUUUCUAACCGUCCUUGGACAAUUCAUCAUUAAUGUGACCUCAAAUCAGGUAGGACUACCCGCUGAACUUAAGCAUAUCAAUAAGCGGAGGA
rnacentral:misc_RNA from 1 species